ACACGUAGGGGCCUGACGUUGUUCGGAAUCAUUGGGCGUAAAGGGCGCGCAGGCGGCCGUCCAAGUCCGGUGUUAAAUGGUCGGGCUCAACCCGAUCAUGCGCUGGAAACUGGGCGGCUGGAGUCCCGGAGGGGAUGCCGGAAUUCCAGGUGUAGGGGUGAAAUCUGUAGAUAUCUGGAAGAACACCGAUGGCGAAGGCAGGCAUCUGGCCGGAGACUGACGCUGAGGCGCGAAGGCGCGGGGAGCGAACAGGUUUAGAUACCCUGGUAGUCCGUGCAGUAAACGAUGCGCACCAGGUGUCGGGCGGCAGCGCCCGGUACCGGAGCAAACGCGAUGAGUGCGCCGCCUGGGGAGUAUGCCCGCAAGGGUGAAACUUAAAGGAAUUGACGGGG
rnacentral:rRNA from 1 species